CUCCCUUGCUAUGUCACUUGCCAUCUCAUCCCUACGUUUAAAACUUGAAAACUUUCAUGAUAAAAGAAAAAGAAAAAAGAACCUAAAAGCAUCACCUAUUCUCCCUACUCUCCUAUGGAACCUUACGCAGCCAAAAAGGGUUUAAUCACUUGAAGUUUACAUUAGAGUUUACAUGAAAAAAUCCAUCUUUUUCAUGUUCUCUUACGACAAGAAAGCUAACAUCUCAAGAUUUUGCUGGGAAACCCUUCUUUCUCCAUAAUAACUUUUCUUAGCGAACUCCAUUUCUCUUAGGGUUUGUUAUCACAUCUCAUCAUGGACGGAGGAAUUUUUAAGAACAUAAAUAAUGAAACACCAUAUGCCUGUAAUGAUUACAUCUCAAUAGCAGUCUUUUUAAUUUUUUGUAAUCUUUGUUUGUUUCGAUCUAUUCUGCAGGUACGAUUUUUAUUGAAACGGAUAUGCAACAAAAUCCCAUUCUUUUUUGCUGCGAAUUUUCUUUGCUCUUGAUAAACAACAAAAUCAUCUCUAUGUGUAAACUCUAACCUUAUUUUUCACAAAGAUUUUUAUUGUUAUUUGGGUUUCUAUAAAAUAUAUUCAAUAUAUGAUAGACAGUUUUUCAAUCCUCAACCGAUUAUAGAGUGUACUUCUUUACCUAUAUUUUACCUAAUUUGAAAUUCAGAACAUUUUAUUGAUUUUAGUAUGCAAUGCCACUAUUUCUCUGUGAACCAGCACACCCUAACAGGAAAGACACCUCUACCAUGAGUUUUAUUUAUCAGUAUUUGUGGGCUCAGUUAAAUGGUCAGGUUGUUAACAAGUUGACCAUAGCUGCACUGCUCAGUGUUGUUGCUGAUAAAGCCUUUUGUCGAGAGGCCAUGUCCAAUUACAAUAUGACUCUUAUUGUGGAUAUUCAGCCAGGUCUGCAUGGGAAGAGACAAUGCGCGAGCUAAAUGGAGCUGGAUAUGCGCCAGGUAAUGGAUCCAGAGCUGUUGUGGGUGAGGGUUUGGUGCCAUGAAAAUACGUCUUAUGCAAUCCAACGAGAUGGGAAGCUCAGCAACAAAGAAAAUGAAGUGUCAUAGAAUUGCAGUUCUCUUGAAUGUUAUGUCAUCAGCUGGUAGUGUGAACGGAGUAGUUUUCAUCAGUAGCUGGUCCUAGAGUUGUCUGAUAUGGAGUCGUUGUGACCUCAAGGAUGAAGAGAACUUGAGUUAAGAGCAGAUCCCAGUGGAAUUAGCGAUAAAUGUUACUACCGGGGAACUUUUAAUACAAUGAACAUGUUUCCUGAUGGAAAUUAUGUUUGUUGUAUCAAGCCAUGUAAAUUCCUACUUUACGUGGGAGCCUGGGAAGGUCGGCUUCUUUGAUAUCUACAUCCAAUUGUACAGGUAAACCUUCUUGACUUAGUAUGUAUGCACUCCUUUCUUAUCCAUCGAUCAUUGCUCUUUUGGUACAGCAUAAAUAAUUUAUUGAUAAUUAUGGCCAUUUUCUGAGAUUGUUAAGUUGUUGAAUUCCGAGUACAUCAAUAACGGCUCAUGUACAGGGUACUGAUCAGUACAUUUGGCAAUUGCAUAUGGUUAUCAACAGGGGCCGAGCCACAUUGAGAGGUGGGUGGGCAAUUGCACCCCCUCAAAUUUAAGCUUCCAAACCUAAUUUAAGCACUUUCCCCCCAAUUUUAGUCAUUUUAACCCUUUUGCACCCCCUAAAAUGUGCACCGGCUGAUAACUUGCCCACCCAUUUCUAGAUUUCUGGCUCCGCCCCUGGUUAUCAACUACCUUCACAUGUUAAGAGAACAAUAUACUCUGUAUAUCUAUUAGCAAUGGAUACAGACUACUUAUGGUUCCUACUCCUAGAUAGUUCAAUGCACAAAAGUCAUCUCUAACAGUGCAUACAAUCAUUGCAAGCAAUGGCAAUUGCAUAGCCGUACAUAUUUAGGUGAAUGUGAAUGCCCAAUCUGAGGGUUAGUAGAGUGAUGGGCCCAAAUGCAACGCAUGAGUUUGUGCACUUCAGGGUACUCCGUGCUUGCAAUAUAAAUUUUCAUGAAGAACAUGCAGUCAAGCAGUAUAAGUUACUUUAUAGAAAGAAAGUCAGUCAUACUUUGUUUUAAAUUCACCAUGGGAUGACCUCGACAAAGGUUUUCUUGGUUCACCUGAUGGAAUCAUUGGUAAUGAUGGAAUUCCAGAGAUCAAAAGCCUACAUUUUGGUGAUGUUGAUGUUGCAAAAUAUUUAUCGUGGGACGAGUACAUCUUCAAUGUAUUCCUCAAUAUGGAGCUAUUGGGUCGAUAUUGGUUGAAUUAUCAAGUAUAGGAGGGUCAUAAAGGUACUGUGAAGUUGGAGUGGUAUAUAUAAAAGUAGUUUAUGUAGAAUUUAUAGGAAUAUAGAUCAGUGCAUGGGAGAUAUUGAAAGAAGCUUUAUACUAAUAACAUCGUUAAGGGCCGUCUCGAAGAGCUAACAUUUUGACCAGCACCUAGACAUGAAUUAUAUGGUGUCAUUAACGAGGCAAUAGCCCUAAUGUUGCCUUUAAUCAGUAUCUGCUACUAGAGGACUUUGUACAUUGUUGAGUUGGAGAUUGCAAAGUGGGUUUUACAAAUGAUUUGGUUGCGGCUGAUAAAACAUUUACAUGGCUUCACCAGGUUAGGGAUUUGAAUCUUUACGUUUAUAUGCCCUUAUCAAUGUUCGCGACCUCAAAUAUUAAAUGCACCCUAGCAAACUGCAGGUUAAUUGUAGAUUUUUGUUCGUACAGUUAUACUCAUGAUGGGUGUUUUUUGUCAUUUGCAAGACUGAUGACUUUGGUUCCAGAAAUGAAACCUCGAAAACAUUGACAAUGUCAUGUUUCUGUGUCGUACUGCUAAGAGAAAAUAUGAUUUCCCCUCUCGCAAAGCAAAGCAAAGCCAUCCAUUACUUUCAUGGGGAAUUUUCAAAACCCAACUACCACAAGCUGUAGCGUGCAUGAGAGCAUUGACAACAUUUCACAGUGUGACGGUCACGAUCGACUCUGGCUACUUUGUGCCCAUCAACAUAAUAUUUGUGGUAAUAAUUCAUAUAUGAAAUUCAAUUCUUUUAAUUGAAGAUGAAAUUCUUUGUAUAUUUGUAUAACAGUAUAACGUGAUGUUCAAAAGCCUAGCAUUUUUUACU